UCAGAUUUCAUACAAAGUUUAUUUAAUCAGAAAAAACUCCAACAGAUUAAUAGACUUUCUGCCACAAGGUCAGGUGGAAAGGGACUGGUGAUAAAUCUGUUUCAGUGUCUGAAGAAGUUCUACUUUCCUUUUGAGAAUCAGUUCAGAUUUACAACAUGCCAAAUGCACUGUUUUAGCACACUUAACAUGCAUGAAAAAUGUCUGAAAUACUAUGUAGUUAUUUUAAGCCUUUAAUUUGUCCUUAGCUUUUAUUUUCAGAAGGAAAGGACAGCAGGAGUUGAUAUGUGCAGAAAUUUCAUGCAGUGUGACAAAGCUCAUUGCACUGUAGUCAAUAUUGAUAUUCUCUUGACAGUUAUUACCAUAUUCAGUAGCCCCUAGGGUCCUAUUUAGGAGUAUGGACUGUAUUAUUCAAGGCACCAAAUAAACAUGCAUCAAUAAGAACCUAUAUCUCAUCUUCGGUUUAGUACAAGAGAAAUGGAAACAGAAAAGUUGGGGGUCUGAAUAAGCACUUUCUGCACAAACUAAUAACCAAUCUUUUUAGCUUUCUACUCUAAAGGACUAGGAUUUCAUUAACAGCAUACUCUUUCCUCAGUACCCUUCUUAUUACUUUAUUUUAAAGUUAAUUUUUUAUGCCAGACAGAUGGAGCUUGAUAUGAAUGAUUUGGACACUGCCUUUGACUCUGCACAGCCAAGAAAAACUGAUGUGACAGCCACAGAAUUCAGGGACUACUCCUUUCCUCGUGUCCUCCAAUGAAUACGCUGAAGUCUGCAAGGUAAAAGUAGGCACCCAGUGUUUGUUUACCAUCAGCUAACAAGAUGCUGCCCAUUCUGAUAGAACAGGGGACAAAGUAGUGUAAGGUUAUAGCUGAUUACUACCUGACUGGUUCAAAAGAGUUAUACAUUUCAAUGAAAGGAUACCAGCUAACUCGUCACUAAAAGUAAGGCUAUGAAAACAGAAACAAAACAGUCCUUCCAUGAAUAUUUAUAGCCAUGACUACUGGAAGAAAGAAAACACUGUUGGAAAGACACUGCAACUCUUACAGAAAAAAAAAAGGUAUUUAUUUACCAGAACACCUUUGCCUUCUUCUGGAUUUGGAUACUUCACUGUGGGAAAUUCUGGGUCAGGAUCCUUCUGCUCCGGAACAGCAAAAGGAGGGCUAAGGCCAAAUGCCUUGAAGGCCAACUGCACAAAUUUAUGCCCUACGCCAUGCACAGAAGUAUGAACAAAUUUCAGGUUUGUUUCCUUGUUUAUAUUCCUGAAAUGAAACACAUUAACAGUAAACUUGGCUAUUAUGCCUAA